UACGUAGGGUGCAAGCGUUGUUCGGAAUUACUGGGCGUAAAGCGAGUGUAGGUGGUUGUCCAAGUUGGAUGUGAAAGCCUUGAGCUCAACUCAAGAAAUGCAUUCAGGACUGGGCGGCUAGAGGACCGGAGAGGAUAGUGGAAUUCCCAGUGUAGUGGUGAAAUACGUAGAGAUUGGGAAGAACACCAGUGGCGAAGGCGGCUAUCUGGACGGUUUCUGACACUAAGACUCGAAAGCGUGGGGAGCAAACAGG
rnacentral:rRNA from 1 species